UACGUAGGGUGCGAGCGUUGUCCGGAAUUAUUGGGCGUAAAGAGCUCGUAGGCGGUGUGUCACGUCGAUCGUGAAAACUUUCAGCUUAACUGGGAGCUUGCGGUCGAUACGGGCAUCACUGGAGUUCGGCAGGGGAGACUGGAAUUCAAGGUGUAGCGGUGAAAUGCGCAGAUAUCUUGAGGAACACCGGUGGCGAAGGCGGGUCUCUGGGCCGAUACUGACGCUGAGGCGCGAAAGCUAGGGGAGCAAACGGG
rnacentral:rRNA from 1 species